rnacentral:lncRNA from 1 species
UUAUUUUAAACCCUCCUCAAUUUCAUGGCCAAGCCACUUGAAGAGCCUGUUUGACUCUGUAACUAUUUUUUUAAGAGAUAGAUAGCAUGCUACCCGCUUCGUUUAUUUUUUUAAAAAAUAAACUUAGUUGGAAAUGUGAAUCAACUAGGAUUCGAACUUGGGACUCCGUCGCUACUUUUACUUUCAACAACAAUAAUCUCUGAUGAAACAUUUUACAAACAAAAAAA